CCCCCCGCAGACAGCGCCCCCCGGCGGAAGGGAGGGGCACUAAAAGGGCCAGAGCCGCAGGGGGCGGGGCCGCUCCCCGGGAACGAGCUUGAAAAUCCUCAUGGAGCGGAGCGGGAGACACGAGGGGAUGGAAAAAAGCCGAGGGGCUGUGCAGCCAAGCGGGAGCACCCCGGCAGCAGGGUCAUGGGAAAAGAAAUUCCUUCAAGGAUGUAAUUCUGCCACUGCACUUGAAAUGUCUCUUCUGAGAUGUGAUAAAACACACAUUGGAGACUCGACUUCCCACCUGCAGGCAGCUGGGGCAGCCUUUGCUUUCUGACACACAGAAACCUGUUUUGUCAUCUGCUGUUAUCCAUGUCCUGUGAAGAGCAGAGGGUGACACCAGCCUGUAAGCAAGAUCUCUAUGCAUUGGUGGCUGUUCUGAAAUAUUAAGAAGUGCUGGAGAUAUUUCUACCUAUCUAUCUGCAGCUCAGUCCACCUAAUCAUCUGUCCUUGCCUGUGAACACAGCCAUAGUCAUUGCUC